AUCUGUCAGGUCAGUUCUGCUCCACUCUAAACUGAUGAUGUUGUUGUUUGGAGCUCGACAUGUCAGAGUGACGUCCUGUCCAGACUCAGCUGUGAUGUUUUUCUGGUCUGAAAGAGGAAACAACACAGAGCAGAGAGCUGCUCCCUUCAGGCGUCACCACAGCGAGUCUUCUCCUCCUCCUCACCUGAUCCCGAGCAUCUUCAUCAGGGCUGAUUUGUGACAGAAGGACAGCAGCAAGAGUGAAAGGGAAGGUUUAAAGAUGGCAGUGAGCUGCUGUGAUGUUUGCUUUGGAGACUCUGACACAAAGACAGGAGGCCGAGCUGAACAUGUUCAGAUUUUCAUUGAGAGCAGAAAGGACGAGAUUAUGAACGAGUUGAUCAGAGGGAAGCUCAGGCUGAGAGGUUUGGAGACAAAGUUCAUGAGAAA